UGAAACAAAUAUGAUGAUUGAACGUUUUUUAAACAAAAAUGGCAGUUGGUUAGAAGGAGCAGAUUUACAAUUUUACCUACAAAUGGAACAUCCCUGCCCUACCUCAUCAACUGGAAGCAAUCGACCUGAAGGUAGACCAAAAAAAAAUUUUGAAGAGUCGUCUUUUAAAACGAAAAAACCAAGGGUCGAAGACUUACUACAAUCGCGAAGUGCCAUCGAGUUCACAGGAGCCGCGGAAGUAGCAAAUCGCUUUGAGGGUAAUAGAAGCAUAGCUACUUCGAUUAAAGUUUGAAAUCUACAGAAAAAAGAAGUAUGGUAAUACCACAUGCGAAGGCAGGCAAUUGGCAAGUGAUGAGGCAUUAGCUUAUUAUGUGGAUUCUAAGUGCACAAGUUACUCCUGUAAACAGACGCGUAAAUGGUCAUUGAAGGCGGGACAUAAAGUUUUUCUAUCCUAUUUUAGUUUACGUAAGUCUAAAAAUUUGUGUUACCCUGCAGAUGAGCAUAUCUUGGUAACAGAAACGCGCGCCGAAAUUAUACUUCAACGCAUUUUGGAUAAAACCGCUAAACGUUUAAUUGAAGCGCAAUGUGAAGUUUUUAAAGCAAAUAUAUCUUCUAAGUCGUCAUUCACACUAAUCAGCAAAUGGGGAUGUGACGGAAGCUCCGGCCAUAGCGCUUAUAAACAGAAAUUUGAGAACUGCGAUGCUACUGAUGAGUAUAUGUUUGUUUUUGCUAUUGUCCCAUUGAGAUUGAGUGACGAUGCCAGCCAAAAUAUUUUAUGGCAAAAUCCGCGGCCUUCGUCCACACUCUAUUGUCGCCCAAUUAAGCUUAUUUUUUAUAAAGGAAACAACUGAUUUUACUAUAUCAGAAACUAACAAGGUUUUGGAAGAAGUAUCUCAAUUUCUUCCAACACUUUGUGAUAAUCGCGGUUCUCAAAUUUUGGUAAAACGUAAUAUAGAUUUACUACAUAUGCUUUUAAUAACAUCCGAUCCGGUAAUCAACUAACUCAGAGAAGUUCCUAGAAAGAGAACAGAUAAAUUACCGGAGGAAGUUCUAAAUUUAAUUGUCCCGCCUUCAAUACCAUCAAAAGUACCACGUCAGGUAACAUGUGACCAUGACGAUAAAGAUUAUCUAGUAUCUGAUUCAGAUGAAUCUAACAGUGAUGAUGAGUCAUUCAAUGAGUAAUGAUAUAGUAUAUAAUAUUAAACAUUUUGUUGUUGUGUGUUAUUGUUAUUUUUAUAUUACUGUUAUUAUAAGGUCUGUUGGUAAAAAUUCCCUUACUAAUCAUCGCGUUUUUCAAUAGUUGUAAUGUAAUGGACUUAUGUAUUAGUACGUAUUUUAUACAUCCAAGUAAAUGUUAUUGUAUGUUUUGAAAUUUAAAAAAAUAAUUAAAUAUAUUUCUUACACAAUUUUUUGUUUUCUAUUCGUAAAUCUAAAAAAAAAUAUAUUAAUUUUUCAAUGAAACUUAAAAUCAUUAAUCAACACGACCAAAACAAUUAAAUUUCAAACUAAAAUAUUUUUGUCCCCCUAGCUUGUAUUAAACGACACACUGUGCAGCCGGGGGAUGCAGAGGAAGAGGAAGAUCUCACCUCCGUUGGAAGGAGCAAGUAUGGAAGGACCUGGCUUCGCUUGGAAUAUUCAAUUGGCGACACGUAGCGAAAAGAAAAAACGACUGGUGCGGUGUUGUUAUUGCAGCUAACGGGUGAUUUUUUUGAGGUUAGGAUUUUCAUGCAUUAGUAUUUGACAGAUCACGUGGGAUUUCAGACAUGGUGUCAAAGAGAAAGAUGCUCAGUAUGCUUUGACAUUUCAUCAUGAAUAGACUUACUAACGAGCAACGCUUGCAAAUCAUUGAAUUUUAUUACCAAAAUCAGUGUUCGGUUCGAAAUGUGUUUCGCGCUUUAUUUUGUUCAGCGAUGAGGCUCAUUUCUGGUUGAAUGGCUACGUAAAUAAGCAAAAUUGCCGCAUUUGGGGUGAAGAGCAACCAGAAGCCGUUCAAGAACUGCCCAUGCAUCCCGAAAAAUGCACUGUUUGGUGUGGUUUGUACGCUGGUGGAAUCAUUGGACCGUAUUUUUUCAAAGAUGCUGUUGGACGCAACGUUACGGUGAAUGGCGAUCGCUAUCGUUCGAUGCUAACAAACUUUUUGUUGCCAAAAAUGGAAGAACUGAACUUGGUUGACAUGUGCUCGCGAUUCUAUGGCCAUUUUGAGGGAAAACUUCGGACAACAAUUCAUCUCAAGAAAUGGACCCGUAAGUUGGCCACCAAGAUCAUGCGAUUUAACGCCUUUAGACUAUUUUUUGUGGGGCUACGUCAAGUCUAAAGUCUACAGAAAUAAGCCAGCAACUAUUCCAGCUUUGGAAGACAACAUUUCCGAAGAAAUUCGGGCUAUUCCGGCCGAAAUGCUCGAAAAAGUUGCCCAAAAUUGGACUUUCCGAAUGGACCACCUAAGACGCAGCCGCGGUCAACAUUUAAAUGAAAUUAUCUUCAAAAAGUAAAUGUCAUGAACCAAUCUAACGUUUCAAAUAAAGAACCGAUGAGAUUUUGCAAAUUUUAUGCGUUUUUUUUUUAAAAAAAGUUAUCAAGCUCUUAAAAAAUCACCCUUUAUAAUCGCGUAAGCGGUGUCUACGCCGAAGAAGAAUAUUUAAAAGGUGGAAAUUAAAGAAAUCUAAUGAAUGAUUAAUUUUUUAGUAAAUUUAACCGUGGAUAACUUGGUGGAUAGCUUUUGCUUCUAAAGUACAAAAAAGCAAGGAAUCAAGCGAAUUUUUUUAUAUGGCUUAUCACCGAAAUUAAAAAAAAAUGGAACAAUAGUAAAAUCUGAAACAUUAAAACGAUUCUAUUCUAGGUAGGUAGGAGUGCAGCCCUGUUGUUGCUCGGGCUCAACUAGCACUGGCUCUGUCAUUUUGUUGCACUAUUCGUAGACAUUUUAUAUUUGCUACCACAUUUUUAUAUUUGCUUGCACCUUCACUUUCAAACCAUUUUGAAGUUUCGAUGAAGCUACUUAUGUCCGAUAAGCUUUUGGACAUAAUGGCCAGUGCCCUGUUAUGGUAGCUGUUACUCUGUAGAUACUUUUCAUAGACCUAUUUAACUCUGGCUCACCAAUGUUAGUCGUUUCGUCGUUUUUUUUUUUUAUCUAUCGUCCUCUGAUUUAAUAUUGUGACAGUUGAUUCAGUUGCAAAGCUACUGCCGAUGAACACAGUCACGUUGUGUGGAUUAGCUGAAGGUGCAACUUUUUUUAGCGAGUAAUAUGGCUGCACAUAGAAUAUCUGACGAUGAAAUUGAGAGAAUUUUGGAUCUUUCCGAUGAUGAAGAAGAAGAUUUCAGUGCUUCCGAAAGCGAGUACGCACCAAGUCCAUCCGAAGAAAUGAUGCAGGGAAGUUUGUCAGAUGAAGCAGUAAAUAGUGAUGGUUUUGAAUGCAGUGAUCACAAUCUGGAAGGCAGCGAUGAAGAAAGCAGUAAUAGUCCUACUCAACCGACUCACAAAAAUAUUAUACCUUUUUCAAAAAACAUUUUACGUGGGAAGAAUAAACACUAAUGGACGACAAGCAAAGGAAGACGACAUCGUUCAGCGGGAAAUAUAGUGCAUCAGGCUAGGUGCCCAACAAAAGAGGCUAAGGGUAUUACUGACCCUUUAGAAGUGUUUAAGCUUUUCUUUACUGAAGAAAUUAUAGACACGGUGGUCCGCUAUACCAAUUUUGAAAUUGAAAAAAGGAAACAGAGCGCUAAUGCAGACUAUGCCACUAAAAAGCCAGUUGAUAAAAAAGAGAUUGAGGCUCUUAUUGGAAUUUUGGCCUUAAGCGCUGUUAUGAAAGAUAACCAUUUGACUUCUCAUGAAAUAUUUAACUUAGAAUAUUCUGGCACUAGAUACAUAGCAACAAUGAGCCGCUUCCGAUUUACUUUCUUGAUGGUGUGUCUGCGUUUUGACGAUAGGUCUCAAAGAACUUUACGUCUUAAUGACAGAUUUGCUCCUAUAAGAGAUGUUUGGGAAAUGUUUAUGCAAAAAUGUCGGGAGAACUAUAACCCCGGGCUCUAUCUCACGAUUGAUGAGCAGCUUUCAGCAUUUCGUGGAAGAUGCCUAUUCCGAAUGUACAUCCCAAACAAACCAGCUAAAUAUGGGCUAAAGAUCAUAGUUCUCUGCGAUAGUGGAACAUAUUAUGUAGUGGAUGCAAUGUCUUAUUUA